rnacentral:SRP_RNA from 1 species
AUUCGGGUCCCACGCAAUGAUGCGCCGCGAAUUCCGCCAGGUCCGGAAGGAAGCAACGGUAGCGGGCCGUGUCGUGUGCCGUGGAUCAACCUGAUUGCG